rnacentral:lncRNA from 1 species
GGAAAAGAGGCCUGGAAAAGCACCACUCCUGUCCAUGAAGCCCCCAGAUGGAACCAGGUCCUGUUCAGAAACCCCAUCUGUGCCUUUGGAGAGACUGCCCCGAGCACACAGGCCCAGCAACCGCCAUCUAUGGCCCCCAGGACCUAAUCCCUUCUACAUAGGGUUCAGUGCAUGAACAGCAAGAGGACCUUGUGCAUGAAUAAUUUGUUUCCAUACUACAGAGUGGGUAAUAAGCAGAUUAGUAAAAACAAUUCUGCUUCACUUCAAUAACAGCCUCCUCCAACUCAUUUUUUCUCAACAAACUUAUUUUUCCAGCAGAAGAAUCCCAGACUUCUUAGAGAACCCAGUGACUUUUUGCACCUUAAAUCUGUGAAAUCCUCAUGUUUUCUUCUGCCGUAUCCAUAGUUCAAACAAAGAUGAGGCAAAGCUAGACGCAUUCCUGAAGG